rnacentral:lncRNA from 1 species
CAGAUAGGUCUGAGACCUCAGUGAUGUCCGAAGUGGGAUGUGGAUGGGCAAGAGCCAGUACUUGCCUCUGCAAGUCGAAUACCCUAGCAGUCAAUCUCACUACACAACCCUCAAGCUGCUGAAUACGAGCUGACUGAUCUGUAAUCAUCUGGAAGACAGUGGAGAUGUGUGGGAUCAGUGUCUGAUCAGAUAUAUCAUGAACUGUCGAUCCCUGAGCAGAAACUGAAGUACCCAUCUGUCG